rnacentral:rRNA from 1 species
GUGACCUCAAAUCAGGUAGGACUACCCGCUGAACUUAAGCAUAUCAAUAAGCGGAGGAAAAGAAACUAACAAGGAUUCCCCUAGUAACUGCGAGUGAAGCGGGAAAAGCUCAAAUUUAAAAUCUGGCAGUCUUUUGGCUGUCCGAGUUGUAAUCUAGAGAAGUGUUAUCCGCGCUGGACCAUGUACAAGUCUCCUGGAAUGGAGCAUCAUAGAGGGUGAGAAUCCCGUCUUUGACAUGGACUUCCAGGGCUUUGUGAUGCGCUCUCAAAGAGUCGAGUUGUUUGGGAAUGCAGCUCAAAAUGGGUGGUAAAUUCCAUCUAAAGCUAAAUAUUGGCGAGAGACCGAUAGCGAACAAGUACCGUGAGGGAAAGAUGAAAAGAACUUUGGAAAGAGAGUUAAACAGUACGUGAAAUUGCUGAAAGGGAAACGCUUGAAGUCAGUCGCGUCGUCCAGGGAUCAACCUUGCUUUUGCUUGGUGCACUUCCUGGUUUGAUGGGUCAGCAUCAAUUUUGACUAUUGGAAAAAGGUUAAGGGAAUGUGGCAUCUUUGGAUGUGUUUAUAGCCCUUGGUCACAUACAAUGGUUGGGAUUGAGGAACUCAGCACGCCGCAAGGCCGGGUUUAAACCACGUACGUGCUAGGAUGCUGCA